AUGCUGAACUGCUUGCUCCAAUGGCCAUUCGACUGUAAAAAUACUCCACUUUUGGCAUUUCUCUCUGGUGGUUGCAAGAUCUAUGAUGAAGUCUACUUUUUUGGCUCAAGCUCAUAUAUGAUUGUCCAGUGCUUACCUACCACAGGACCUAGAAGGGGGAAAUAUCCAUUUUCAUCAACAGAAAAGAAAACUAAGUGAUAGUAAGAGACAGCAAUAAAUCCAUAGAGGAUGACA
rnacentral:lncRNA from 12 species